AUGGCUAUACAAAGCUUCUCCCAUAAAUCUGCAAGUUGUUUUUCUUAUCUAACUGCCUGUCUCACCCUUCAGUGCCGCUGCUACUUGCGUAACAUGGAACAAAUGGAGCUGAGGAGGUCACGGCCCUCCGAGCAGCUCCAGGAAAUCCUUAUCUGCUGUGAACUUCACAGGUUUGGCCACCUGUUUCUCAGCUGUCCUGGCACGGGAAGUUUUUGGAUGCCGGCUUUCGAGGAGUCUCCCCACUGGGUUGCACUGGAACCUGGAAUAUGAGAAUGUGGGUUGGCAAGAACCUGUGCGUCUGGGAGCUGCCGAGCAGCCCCGGAGGCUUCCCAAAUUCGGCUCCCCGUCAUCCCGUCUGGUAGGAUGGAGGAAGCUGGGAAGCCUCUCUCAGCUCAAAACCUCAGAAUCUGGGAGCCAGCCCCCCUGAAACUUUCACCCCUUUGUUCCUGGGCAGCUGUUGUGGGGAGCUGUGAGGCAGCUGGAGCACAGAAAGAUGAACCAGCCUCGACGGAGGCACCUGGUGACUCUGCAGGUGGCCCCAGCCUCCUUGCUUGCUUGCCAGGCUGCUGUGCGCUGCUCAGCACCAUUUUGGGGUGAUUUAUCACAGCACCGGACCACUGAAGAGCUAUGGUUUGUAUUCACACGGGCUCCCUUUCAGCAUGAGGGGGUGAUGCCAGAGACUGGGGAGUGUGACAGCCCAGUCUGCCCAGUUAUGGAAAGUGAGGAACUGGAAAUUUACCUGGAUGUCAUCCGGAGUUAGUCAAAACCGAAGCAUCUCUACAAAACACCUAGAUCUGAACAAACUGCCAUUCUCUGACAAAAAUGUUCCGUCUGAGAAUUUCUGACCAGGUCUGGUGGUAAACAUCUCCAGGAUGUCAUUUGUGCCUGAUAUAGGGCAAAAAUUAUUCGGGUACCUGGAGUCCAGGGUGGGAGGAUGAGGGAAUGGAACAGUAAAUUAAAGGGGUUGAAACAGAAACUGCUGAUUGUCCAAGCCUGACUGACCGAGUUGUGCUCAGCUAUCUGUGUGGAAACACUUUUUUUUUUUUUCACAGAGAAAACAGCCACCUCAGGGGCCACAUCCACCGUGCCCUGCCUGAGGGGCCCCUCGCUGAGAGGGGACCCGGUUGUUUGUGUUUAUUUUCACUGCCUUCCCCUCGGUGGGAUUUCUCCAAGGGGUUAUGGCCGUGCUGACCCUCCCUGUCAGCCCACAAUCUUGAAGACGAUCUCACACCGUGGGGCUGCCUCGAGGGGGGGUCUCCACAUUACAGAG
rnacentral:lncRNA from 1 species